ACUCCUGCGGGAGGCAGCAGUGGGGAAUUUUGGACAAUGGGCGAAAGCCUGAUCCAGCAAUGCCGCGUGUGUGAAGAAGGCCUUCGGGUUGUAAAGCACUUUUGUCCGGAAAGAAAUCCUUGGCUCUAAUACAGUCGGGGGAUGACGGUACCGGAAGAAUAAGCACCGGCUAACUACGUGCCAGCAGCCGCGGUAAUACGUAGGGUGCGAGCGUUAAUCGGAAUUACUGGGCGUAAAGCGUGCGCAGGCGGUUUGCUAAGACCGAUGUGAAAUCCCCGGGCUCAACCUGGGAACUGCAUUGGUGACUGGCAGGCUAGAGUAUGGCAGAGGGGGGUAGAAUUCCACGUGUAGCAGUGAAAUGCGUAGAGAUGUGGAGGAAUACCGAUGGCGAAGGCAGCCCCCUGGGCCAAUACUGACGCUCAUGCACGAAAGCGUGGGGAGCAAACAGGAUGAGAAACCCCGGUAGUCCCAUGAU
rnacentral:rRNA from 1 species